AUCUCCACUGGGAAAUCUCCACCAGGGAAUCUCCACCGGGGAAUCUCCACCAGGAAAUGUCCACCAGAAUCUCCACUGGGGAAUCUCCACCAGGGAUUUGUGUCUCUUUGUGUCUCUGGAGAAGCCAAACUCCCCGUGCAAGAGCUCAGGUUCCCCAACAGGGCUCGUGUUUUAGGAACUCAAUCCAUGGAGGGGCCAAAACCCCCCUCUGGGGCAGAACUGGAGCGACAGGAGCGGGGCUGGAAUCGUCACUGGGACACAGAAACCCAAAAUACCGGCGGGAGGGGCAGGCGCACCCUGGCAUGGGAAGGAGGGAAUUCCGGGGGAAUUCUGGCUGGAUUCUGGGGAAUGAGGAUAAAAGCCCCGCUGGAAANCCGGGGCCCCUCCUGUCCCUCAGUUCCUCAUUGCCUAACGAGGCUGAUUUAGAUUAUCUCGCUAAUGAGUCAUUAGAUUCUCGAGCUCGGGGCUCGUUAAGGAACCUUUGUCCCGCCCCCCCCCCCCCCCCCCCCCCCCCCCCUUUGUCCCGCCUCUUCCUUCCGGAAACCCGGGCCGCUUUUGGUGAGAACACCCAGAAUCUGGGGACAAACCCAUUUUCCAAAGUAUUCAUCUAUAAAAUAAUUAAGAAACUGAGGUUAAUUAGCCUCGAGCAGCCCCAGGUUUAAUUUCUAUUUGGUCCAGCUCCUCCCUGCUCUAAACUCUUUUCUCCCCCCAUGCUCUGUCCAGUUUUUAUUUAUUUUGGGGGUUUUUCCUCCCCAAACCCAUCCCGGGACGAAGCCGUUUGUGAUUAAUUAACCCCAGGGAACGUGAUUAAUUAACCCCAGCACGAGAGACUUUUGCUGGGGACGUGGCUCUGUGUCCCCUCCUGUCCCUCAAACCCUCCCCAGCUGCUGCUCAGGCAAACAGCUCGAAGGGAAUCCAGCCCAGAGCGGCUCAUUUUGGGCGGCUCUCAGUGGUCCUGGGGCGUUUCCAGCGUGGCGUGGGUUGGGACAACGUGGAUGCACUUUUUUUUCCUGGAUUUCACCCCAAUUUUCCUUGGGUUUCACCCCAAUCAGUGAUUUAAAGCUGGAGCUGUUUGUGCCCCGCCAGGAAUUGCGAAACUGUCGCUGCUGGAGUUGUUUUGAAAUAACCAAAAUCAGCCAAAAUUUUUUUCCCCCCCCCCCCCAGUUUUGGUCCUUUUCUCGCCCAGAUUUUUCCCUUCCACAACCCAGGGCUGGAUUUUGGGGUGUUCCAGUUUUAAUUCCCCCCAUUCAUCCCCCUCUGCUCCAGUCCUGGAAAAGCUCCUUUAAUUUGUCAGAUUUUGGGGGGUUUUUUUACCAUGAAAAUGUGAUUUUCUUUUUAUCACCCCUCUCCUCCUUCCCCUCUCCCCUCCCUCCUGCACCUCUCACACCACACUUGCAACAAACCCCUAAAACUAUCCCCAAAAUUAUUGUCAUUAUCACUGAAAUUAUCCCAAAUAUCGCUUUAUCCCUGAAACGUUUUUUUUUUCCCCCCCAAUCUCAUCUCCUGCAGAUCGGCCCCCCCCCCCCCCCCCCCCCCCCCCCCCCCCCCCCCCCCCCCCCCCCCCCCCCCCCCCCCCCCCCCCCCCCCCCCCCCCCCCCCCCCCCCCCCCCCCCCCCCCCCCCCCC
rnacentral:lncRNA from 1 species